AUACUUGUGCCUUUUUCGAACUUAUCCCAGCCCAUAUUACAAUAAUAAAGCAAAGUGAAUAAAAAUGUAGGCGAACAUUUCUUUAAAAAAAAGCUGAUUACCUCUGCUGCUGAUUCAGUUCCCGUAUUGUUAAAGUCAUCAAUCUAUUAAAUGAGAAUUUCAUAGGAUUACAUUAAUUUGGCUCUUUGCCUUAGAUUUUCAAACAAAGAACUGGAAAUUUUUUUUGUGUCAGUGAUAUGUAUGUAGCACUUAAAUUCACAGAUGGUAAUGACUGAACCUUUGGUGGAAUAUUUCAGAUAGGUUAGCAAGCUGAGGAGCAGGAAACGUGACAUCGUACACAACGCAUGCUACAGCAUUCGUAACGCUUCAGUGAUGAACCGAGAGAAGUGCUUUACGUGUUCAUUCUUCAUAGAAACUCAUCCAGUGCUUUUAUAGUGCAAAGGGUCAAGAUCACGGCUUGCAGGAAUCUGACACUGAUAAAGGUUUGAGAGAAGCCUUCAUACAGGGCUGGAGCAGAAAAGUAAGUCCCAAAGUUAAUCUCUCACGAGGAAUUAUUCCAUUUCUCUUGAAGUACUCCUGUGAGUAUUAUUGCUAACCUUCACCAUAACAGCAUACCCCAUCCAUAGGGCUUCAUCUUGAAGUCACUUGAAAACCAUGGCUGAUUUAAAACCUGAUUCGUUUAUUAUGUGAAAAUAAUCAUACAAAGCAGAUGAUGAGUAUAAAAACACAUAAAAAAUUUAGCUUUUGACCUUUUGGAUCAACUUUUUUGAUGGCUCUUAGUACCUGAAGCCCUUGGCAGUGUCACUAAGAUUGCUGGCAGCAGUGAGACCUACUCUCAAAAAACAAAUCUGAAAUUUUCUUUUUUAGAACAAGUAAUGGAACAAGCGUUCCUUAUCAUAGAAUAUCCUGAGUUGGAAAGGACUCAUAAAGAUCAAUGAGUCCAUUUCCUGCCUCCACACAGGACCACCCAGGAUUCAAACCCUACAUCUGAGAGCAGUGUCCAAAUGCUCCUUGAACUCCAUCAGGCUUGGAGCCAUGCCCACUGCCCUCUCGGACAGACCCUUU